AUUGUACUCCCAUCCUUUUCGAAUUAUUUGUCACAUGUAUGGAUGUAUCUAGAUGUAUUUUAGUUCUAGAUACAUCCAUUUCUGCGACGAGUAAUUUGGAACGGGGGGAGUAUAUA
rnacentral:pre_miRNA from 1 species